rnacentral:rRNA from 1 species
UACAGAGGUCUCAAGCGUUGUUCGGAUUCAUUGGGCGUAAAGGGUGCGUAGGUGGCGAGGUUAGUCAGGUGUGAAAUCUCGGGGCUCAACCCCGAAACUGCACUUGAUACUGCCUUGCUAGAGUACUGGAGAGGAGAUUGGAAUUUACGGUGUAGCAGUGAAAUGCGUAGAUAUCGUAAGGAAGACCAGUGGCGAAGGCGAAUCUCUGGACAGUUACUGACACUGAGGCACGAAGUCCAGGGGAGCAAACUGG